rnacentral:tRNA from 2 species
GCCGGGGUGGCGGAAUUGGCAGACGCACACGCCUCAAGAGCGUGCGAGAGUAAUCUCAUGAGGGUUCAACUCCCUCCUCCGGCA